rnacentral:misc_RNA from 1 species
ACAAGAUAUACAUACUUGACUUCAUAAAUGUACAAGUUAUUAUUACACAAUUUAGAAUUUACAUUACAAAUUUUAUAUUUAAUUACAAUGUACAAUGACAAAAUACUAUGGCUCAAUGGGCCAUACCAAAAGUGCUGAGAUGAGGUGACACAAUACUAUUGCAGAUCAGAUCUCCAAAUCCUAGUCCGGCGUCUACUGGGCUUUAUCUCUAAUACCUCACUUAGGCAAAUUUCUAGCUUCCAAUUUCUUCAAUUUCCUUCAAUCCUCUUGCUACCAAUCUUCAAAUUAAGGUCAAAUAUCAAGUUUUAUCUCAAGUAGCUAUAGGU